GCCAGACUCCUACGGGAGGCAGCAGUGAGGAAUAUUGGUCAAUGGUCGGGAGACUGAACCAGCCAAGCCGCGUGAGGGAUGAAGGUACAGAGUAUCGUAAACCUCUUUUGUCAGGGAACAAAGGCGGGGACGUGUCCCCGGAUGAGUGUACCUGAAGAAAAAGCAUCGGCUAACUCCGUGCCAGCAGCCGCGGUAAUACGGAGGAUGCGAGCGUUAUCCGGAUUUAUUGGGUUUAAAGGGUGCGCAGGCGGUCUGUUAAGUCAGCGGUCAAAGCCCGGGGCUCAACCCCGACAAGCCGUUGAAACUGGCUUGCUAGAGUGGGCGAGAAGUAUGCGGAAUGCGUGGUGUAGCGGUGAAAUGCAUAGAUAUCACGCAGAACUCCGAUUGCGAAGGCAGCAUACCGGCGCCCGACUGACGCUGAGGCACGAAAGCGUGGGUAUCGAACAGGAUUAGAUACCCUUGUA
rnacentral:rRNA from 1 species